rnacentral:rRNA from 1 species
AUGAACGCUAGCGGCAGGCUUAACACAUGGCAAGUCGAGGGGCAGCGUGGAGCAGCAAUGCUCUGACGGCGACCGGCGGAAGGGUGCGUAACACGUGAGCGACUUGCCCGUCACAGGGGGAUAACCGGCGGAAACGGCGACUAAUACCCCCAUAUGAUGCGAUGCUGCAUGGCAUUGCAUUGAAAGAUUCAUCGGUGGCGGAUAGGCUCGCGGGACAUUAGCUAGACGGCGGGGCAACGGCCCACCGUGGCGACGAUGUCUAGGGGUUCUGAGAGGAAGGCCCCCCACACUGGGACUGAGACACGGCCCAGACUCCUACGGGAGGCAGCAGUGAGGAAUAUUGGUCAAUGGACGAGAGUCUGAACCAGCCAAGUAGCGUGCAGGAUGACGGCCCUAUGGGUUGUAAACUGCUUUUAUAAGGGAAUAAAGUGAGUCUCGUGAGACUUUUUGUCAUGUACCUUAUGAAUAAGGACCGGCUAAUUCCGUG